AGCGAACGUUAGCGGCGGGCUUAACACAUGCAAGUCGAGCGAGAAAGGGGCUUACGGCCCUGAGUACAGCGGCGGACGGUGAAUAACACGUAGGUAACCUUCCUUCCAGCGGGGACAACGGUCCGAAAGGACCGCUAAUACCGCAUACGUUCCCUGGGACCCUGGUCCCGGGGAGGAAAGCUCCGCAAGGGGCACUGGAUGAGGGGCCUGCGUAGCAUCAGCUAGUUGGUGGGGUAAUGGCCUACCAAGGCUAAGACGCUUAGCUGGUCUGAGAGGAUGAUCAGCCACACUGGGACUGAGACACGGCCCAGACUCCUACGGGAGGCAGCAGUGGGGAAUAUUGGACAAUGGGCGCAAGCCUGAUCCAGCCACGCCGCGUGAGUGAUGAAGGCCUUCGGGUCGUAAAGCUCUGUGGGAGGGACGAAUGGCGCCGUGAAGAGCGGCGAGUGACGGUACCUCCUUAGCAAGCACCGGCUAACUUCGUG
rnacentral:rRNA from 1 species